CUACACCUACGGGAGGCAGCAGUGGGGAAUAUUGCACAAUGGGGGAAACCCUGAUGCAGCGACGCCGCGUGAGUGAAGAAGUAUUUCGGUAUGUAAAGCUCUAUCAGCAGGGAAGAAAAUGACGGUACCUGACUAAGAAGCCCCGGCUAACUACGUGCCAGCAGCCGCGGUAAUACGUAGGGGGCAAGCGUUAUCCCGAUUUACUGGGUGUAAAGGGAGCGUAGACGGCAGGGCAAGCCAGAAGUGAAAACGCAGAGCUUAACUUUGCGACUGCUUUUGGAACUGCCCAGCUAGAGUACAGGAGA
rnacentral:rRNA from 1 species